GACCGGAAGGAAGCAGCGCACGUUAGGCUUG
rnacentral:SRP_RNA from 1 species